CACGUAGGGGGCAAGCGUUGUCCGGAUUUAUUGGGCGUAAAGAGCUCGUAGGCGGUUCGGUAAGUCGGGUGUGAAAACUCUGGGCUCAACUCAGAGACGCCACCUGAUACUGCCGUGACUUGAGUCUGGUAGGGGAGUGUGGAAUUCCCGGUGUAGCGGUGAAAUGCGCAGAUAUCGGGAGGAACACCGGUGGCGAAGGCGGCAUCCUGGACCGGCAUUGACGCUGAGGGGCGAAAGCCAGGGGAGCAAACGGG
rnacentral:rRNA from 1 species